rnacentral:lncRNA from 1 species
AUUUCAGAAGUUGGCAGAAAAAGAAAAGAAAAAUAGAAAAAGAAAAUAGAAAAGAAAAAAAAAUGAAUGAAAAAAAUAGAAGGAUGUCAAUCAAUACAUACUCCUUAUGAAAAAGAAAAAGAAAGAAUAAAAAGAGAAAGGAGAAGAGAAAACAGUUGCUAUAGAGUUGUUGAAGUGAAUGAAAUAUUUUGUAAAUUCAACUCCCGCAGUUUCUUUCAAGUCUCUUUUGUCUCUUUGAA